CCUACGGGUGGCUGCAGUGGGGAAUAUUGGACAAUGGGGGCAACCCUGAUCCAGCCAUGCCGCGUGUGUGAAGAAGGCCCUCGGGUUGUAAAGCACUUUCAGUGAGGAAGAACGCCUGGUGGUUAAUACCCAUCAGGAAAGACAUCACUCACAGAAGAAGCACCGGCUAACUCCGUGCCAGCAGCCGCGGUAAUACGGAGGGGGCGAGCGUUAAUCGGAAUUACUGGGCGUAAAGCGCGCGUAGGUGGCUUGAUAAGCCGGUUGUGAAAGCCCCGGGCUCAACCUGGGAACGGCAUCCGGAACUGUCAAUCUAGAGUGCAGGAGAGGAAGGUAGAAUUCCCAGUGUAGCGGUGAAAUGCGUAGAGAUCGGGAGGAAUACCAGUGGCGAAGGCGGCCUUCUGGACUGUCACUGACACUGAGGUGCGAAAGCGUGGGUAGCAAACAGGAUUAGAUACCCUGGUAGUC
rnacentral:rRNA from 1 species